rnacentral:rRNA from 1 species
UACGUAGGGACCGAGCGUUGUCCGGAUUCAUUGGGCGUAAAGAGCUCGUAGGCGGCUGUUCAAGUCGAACGUGAAAACUCGGAGCUCAACUCCGAGCCUGCGUUCGAUACUGGACGGCUAGAGUCUGGUAGGGGGAUCUGGAAUUCCUGGUGUAGCGGUGGAAUGCGCAGAUAUCAUGAGGAAGACCAGUGGCGAAGGCGGGUCUCUGGACAGUUCCUGACACUGAGGCACGAAGGCCAGGGGAGCAAACGGG